AUUGAACGCUGGCGGAAUGCUUUACACAUGCAAGUCGAGCGGCAGCACGGGGGCAACCCUGGUGGCGAGCGGCGAACGGGCGAGUAAUACAUCGGAACAUGCCCAGUCGUGGGGGAUAACACUUCGAAAGAAGUGCUAAUACCGCAUACGUCCUGAGGGGGAAAGCGGGGGAUCGCAAGACCUCGCGCGAUUGGAGUGGCCGAUGUCAGAUUAGCUAGUUGGUGGGGUAAAGGCCUACCAAGGCAACGAUCUGUAGCUGGUCUGAGAGGAUGAUCAGCCACACUGGGACUGAGACACGGCCCAGACUCCUACGGGAGGCAGCAGUGGGGAAUUUUGGACAAUGGGGGCAACCCCGAUCCAGCCAUUCCGCGUGAGUGAAGAAGGCCUUCGGGUUGUAAAGCUCUUUCGGCAGGAACGAAACGGUGAGCUCUAACAUAGCUUGCUAAUGACGGUACCUGAAGAAGAAGCACCGGCUAACUACGUG
rnacentral:rRNA from 1 species